rnacentral:tRNA from 1 species
GGGGCUAUAGCUCAGUUGGUAGAGCACUUGCCUUGCAUGCACAAGGCCCUGGGUUCAAUCCUCAGCACCA